UUUGGACCCAUUCAAAGGACUGGACAGCAGAAUGUUGUUCUCCAAAACCAGAGUAUGCUUGAGUAUAUAACAACAUUAACCAGUCCCGAUAUAAUGCCAUCAUCUUCAUGACGAGGUAAUAUCGACGAGAAUCAUGAGCAAAACUCUCAAAAUUAUUCGGUCACAUCGACAAUAAUUAUGGACAAUUUUUCCGACAUGACAACUGAUGAACAAGACUCAUCUACACAGAUUAUGACGAAUUCUACAAUUGCUACGCAUGAAGAAAAGAUGAAGGAAAUGGAAGAGCAACUGCGAAAUAUGACAAACUAUAAAAGUGCAACAGAAGAAAUUAAGAGGCUGACAACUAGUGAAAAAGCUGAGAAGUUAUACAUGAUAAGAGAGAAAUCAAAGACACGGAUGAAGGCAGAACACACAGCAAUAAGAAAAAGAUAGCAUAAGAAACUCGCAAAAAUGAAGAGCAAGACACUUUCCUACUUAAACCAGCACCAAAAUUGAAAGAAGAAUUGUUGAAGAAAGAACGUUUCUUAAAAAUGCAAAUGAACAAUGCAACGAGUGUACUUAAUAACGAUGCGUUCCGCGAGUUCCGCGUUAACUUCGUUAAUCGACGAACCCAAUAAA